GGGGGACAUGAUGGACACGGACACAGCCACGGAGGACACGAUGGACACGGACACAGCCACGGAGGACACGAUGAACACGGACACAGCCACGGAGGAAAGGACCACGGGGGACACGAUGGACACGGACAUAGCCACGGAGGACACGAUGAACACGGACACAGCCACGGAGGACACGAUGGACACGGACACAGCCACGGAGGACAUGACGAUGCACACUGUCACGACCAGCUGACUCCGGGGAAAGGAGCCAGUAAACAGAUCCUUCAGGGCGUGUUGCUGCACAUCAUCGCUGACACUCUGGGCAGUGUUGGAGUGAUCACUCCAACACUGCCCAGA